rnacentral:rRNA from 1 species
UACGUAGGGGGCGAGCGUUAUCCGGAUUCACUGGGUGUAAAGGGAGCGUAGACGGCCAUGCAAGCCAGGGGUGAAAGCCCGGGGCCCAACCCCGGGACUGCCCUUGGAACUGCAUGGCUGGAGUGCGGGAGGGGCAGGCGGAAUUCCUGGUGUAGCGGUGAAAUGCUUAGAGAUCAUACAGAACACCGAUUGCGAAGGCAGCUUACCAAGCUACUUCUGACGUUGAGGCACGAAAGCGUGGGGAGCAAACAGG